rnacentral:rRNA from 1 species
UACGUAGGGCGCAAGCGUUGUCCGGAAUUAUUGGGCGUAAAGAGCUUGUAGGCGGUUUGUCGCGUCUGCUGUGAAAAUCCGGGGCUCAACCCCGGACUUGCGGUGGGUACGGCAGACUAGAGUGUGGUAGGGGAGACUGGAAUUCCUGGUGUAGGCGGUGAAAUGCGCAGAUAUCAGGAGGAACACCGAUGGCGAAGGCAGGUCUCUGGGCCACUACUGACGUGAGAAGCGAAAGCGUGGGGAGCGAACAGG